CCCCCGGCCUCGCCCCGGCUCCGGGCGGCGGGGGCAGGCGGGUCCCGCCGGGGGUGCCCGGGCCCCGCUUCCAGCCCCGGGAGGCGGCUGAGGGCCGGGCCUGGCAGCGCGGCGGGCCCCGGGGCCUGAGGGGGAGCGCGGCGGGGCCGUGCUGCGCCCGGGAUUCCCAGCGAGCCCGCUUAGCGCCGGUCGGAGCGGUCCCGGAGCUGCUCCGGAGGCCCCGGCAGGUUCCCAGCCAAGGCUGGGGUCACUGGCAUGUAAAAGGAUCCCAGCUCCAGAGGUUCAGGGAAGUAGGCAGGGCGUACAGAUUCCACAUCUCUGAGGGAGAUUUGUUCUCUCCAGAAAUCUCAGGAACCAAUUCUGCAACUGAUAUGAACGCUGCAAGGGUGGCAGCCCCCAAACCCAGGGGUCUCUUCAUCAUUACUUUUAGGCUGAGAGUGCACCAUGAUUGUACAUAA
rnacentral:lncRNA from 1 species